UCUAAGAUUCGACCUCUGUCCUUAUAGAUGUCCUAUAGAUUUUGAUGUCUAUACACAAAGUGAGUUGAGAGAAGGUGUCGUAAAAAACCCGUUUUGACACAUGGAAAGAAGUAGAAGACCAGCACCAGUUUGACGUUUACUUGACCGCAUCGAAUCAGCUGGUCAUAUGUGUUGUUUAUUAUUCUCGAAGCAAUAACAUCAUUAUAUGAUUUGUUUUCUUCCAUUCUGCUGUUCAAUAUCGUUCGGAAAGGUUAGAUCAAGUUAAGAAAUCAGGAUAUUGUAGUGUGUCAGUUCUAUCUGAGGUGAUUCUGUAUUAUAUUUAUUACUGUUUGAGGUGGUAACGAUUCAGCGGCAAUACGGACACGGCAGCUUUGACUGAAUCGGCGUCACAGGCGGUGCCGGUUUGCAUCCCCGAACUAUUGGUUGAUCCGAGGUAUAGGAUCGUUCCACUUCACGUUCAUCAAGAGCACAGGAGAUUGAGCUUUAUCAAUGUAUGCUAGAGAUCUCUCGACCAACAAAGAAUGCUUGACCGCAGCUUGUUUACAUUUCAGUCAAGCAAACGUCAAAAUUUGAUUCAAGAUGUCCGACCGAGAACUCGCUAUUCCGACACCUCCUCUCAACUCACUUUGUCUAUACACAUCAUGUCUAAAUACAUACACUUUCCCAGUGCACAAUCGGAUCGCGUUUUGGUCGAAACCGGGUCGAAACGGCCUGUCACGGUGUAUGAAACACCCGGUUGUGAGCGUGUGUGUGUGCGUCUCGUUAGUUUCGGGUUUCUCUUCAGGAAGAUGAAAAAAACAGUAAGAAGAAGAAGAACUAUGUGUUGACAAUACGGUGUCAUGCCGUAAUACUGGAAUUAUAAAAAUAAUAAAAGGAGAAGAACUAUCAUUGCGAAGUGUAAAAAAUCAUUUAAUACGAAGCCUCCUUUCAAAGACAUUGGACAGGGUAAGGCCACUGGGUUGUUGCGGGUGUAUGAUGUGGACCCCGAGGUUGUUACCGCCUGACCGAGCGUUCUAACGGCAGAUGCUCUGAGAAAAAACACAAUUAUAACCACCAUUUGACUCUAUUAUUGGAUCCUAUUAUUGGGUCUGUUUGAUGACUAUGAUACCACUUCGAAUGCUUAACAAUACACUAAAGAACAUUUUAUUCCAUUUUCAGUAUUGCUCUUCUUCAAAUCUUGUAAAAACCAUUUAUUUACACACUACAUGUUUUGGUAUGAUCGGUGAAUGAAAUAAUAUACUUGAAAAAUCGUCUA